UACGUAGGGUGCGAGCGUUGUCCGGAAUUACUGGGCGUAAAGAGCUCGUAGGCGGUCUGUCGCGUCUGGUGUGAAAAUCCAGGGCUUAACCCUGGACCUGCAUCGGGUACGGGCAGACUAGAGUGCGGUAGGGGAGAUCGGAAUUCCUGGUGUAGCGGUGAAAUGCGCAGAUAUCAGGAGGAACACCGGUGGCGAAGGCGGAUCUCUGGGCCGUAACUGACGCUGAGGAGCGAAAGCAUGGGGAGCGAACGGG
rnacentral:rRNA from 1 species